CCCAACUCAAAGUUCUAGAUCUCCAUAGCACUGAGAUUGCAUUACCUCCAUAGCACUGAGAUUGCAUUACUGUCUUCAUCCUUAUUCAACUUGAUUUACCUCAAAGCGCUCUAUUUAAAUUCCUGCUCUAAGUUGGAAGAAAUCCCAUCUCGUGUGAAAGCACUUACGUGUCUUAAGUGUUGGACAUUCGAAAAACCAAACUCAAUUUACUUCAAAUUGGAAGUUUAGUAUCAUUGAAGUGUUUGCGAUUAUCAUUGUGUAAUUUUGAUAUUGCAAACUAUACUGAAGCACAAGUGUCAACGUUUGAUUUGUUGCAGGAAUUGAAUAUUGAUGUUGGUUCACUGGAAGAAGGGUGGGACAAGAUUGUAGAUCCAGUAAUAAAGGAAAAAAUUGACUUAUCUUCGAUUUUGUUUCCCUAAAGUAGACUGCCUUGGCGUAUUUGUUCAAGAAUGACCUGUGUGGGAGGAGGGUUCCUUGACAUUUCAUUUUGCUAUUGGUUGCCAUAACUCAGCC
rnacentral:lncRNA from 1 species